GGUUAAGCGACUAAGCGUACACGGUGGAUGCCCUGGCAGUCAGAGGCGAUGAAGGACGUGCUAAUCUGCGAUAAGCGUCGGUAAGGUGAUAUGAACCGUUAUAACCGGCGAUUUCCGAAUGGGGAAACCCAGUGUGUUUCGACACACUAUCAUUAACUGAAUCCAUAGGUUAAUGAGGCGAACCGGGGGAACUGAAACAUCUAAGUACCCCGAGGAAAAGAAAUCAACCGAGAUUCCCCCAGUAGCGGCGAGCGAACGGGGAGCAGCCCAGAGCCUGAAUCAGUGUGUGUGUUAGUGGAAGCGUCUGGAAAGGCGCGCGAUACAGGGUGACAGCCCCGUACACAAAAAUGCACAUGCUGUGAGCUCGAUGAGUAGGGCGGGACACGUGGUAUCCUGUCUGAAUAUGGGGGGACCAUCCUCCAAGGCUAAAUACUCCUGACUGACCGAUAGUGAACCAGUACCGUGAGGGAAAGGCGAAAAGAACCCCGGCGAGGGGAGUGAAAAAGAACCUGAAACCGUGUACGUACAAGCAGUGGGAGCACGCUUAGGCGUGUGACUGCGUACCUUUUGUAUAAUGGGUCAGCGACUUAUAUUCUGUAGCAAGGUUAACCGAAUAGGGGAGCCGAAGGGAAACCGAGUCUUAACUGGGCGUUAAGUUGCAGGGUAUAGACCCGAAACCCGGUGAUCUAGCCAUGGGCAGGUUGAAGGUUGGGUAACACUAACUGGAGGACCGAACCGACUAAUGUUGAAAAAUUAGCGGAUGACUUGUGGCUGGGGGUGAAAGGCCAAUCAAACCGGGAGAUAGCUGGUUCUCCCCGAAAGCUAUUUAGGUAGCGCCUCGUGAAUUCAUCUCCGGGGGUAGAGCACUGUUUCGGCAAGGGGGUCAUCCCGACUUACCAACCCGAUGCAAACUGCGAAUACCGGAGAAUGUUAUCACGGGAGACACACGGCGGGUGCUAACGUCCGUCGUGAAGAGGGAAACAACCCAGACCGCCAGCUAAGGUCCCAAAGUCAUGGUUAAGUGGGAAACGAUGUGGGAAGGCCCAGACAGCCAGGAUGUUGGCUUAGAAGCAGCCAUCAUUUAAAGAAAGCGUAAUAGCUCACUGGUCGAGUCGGCCUGCGCGGAAGAUGUAACGGGGCUAAACCAUGCACCGAAGCUGCGGCAGCGACACUAUGUGUUGUUGGGUAGGGGAGCGUUCUGUAAGCCUGUGAAGGUGUGCUGUGAGGCAUGCUGGAGGUAUCAGAAGUGCGAAUGCUGACAUAAGUAACGAUAAAGCGGGUGAAAAGCCCGCUCGCCGGAAGACCAAGGGUUCCUGUCCAACGUUAAUCGGGGCAGGGUGAGUCGACCCCUAAGGCGAGGCCGAAAGGCGUAGUCGAUGGGAAACAGGUUAAUAUUCCUGUACUUGGUGUUACUGCGAAGGGGGGACGGAGAAGGCUAUGUUGGCCGGGCGACGGUUGUCCCGGUUUAAGCGUGUAGGCUGGUUUUCCAGGCAAAUCCGGAAAAUCAAGGCUGAGGCGUGAUGACGAGGCACUACGGUGCUGAAGCAACAAAUGCCCUGCUUCCAGGAAAAGCCUCUAAGCAUCAGGUAACAUCAAAUCGUACCCCAAACCGACACAGGUGGUCAGGUAGAGAAUACCAAGGCGCUUGAGAGAACUCGGGUGAAGGAACUAGGCAAAAUGGUGCCGUAACUUCGGGAGAAGGCACGCUGAUAUGUAGGUGAAGCGACUUGCUCGUGGAGCUGAAAUCAGUCGAAGAUACCAGCUGGCUGCAACUGUUUAUUAAAAACACAGCACUGUGCAAACACGAAAGUGGACGUAUACGGUGUGACGCCUGCCCGGUGCCGGAAGGUUAAUUGAUGGGGU
rnacentral:rRNA from 1 species